GCUUUCUGCUUCCCAUUACACAGCUUUUGGGUCAUGGCACGUCGUAUACAAGUGCUGUGAUCGUGCAAAGAGGGAGAGCGACCGGAUGGGAACCAUGUUGAAUGGUAGCAAGCGCUAAACUCAAACCAUGUGCUUUUGUGGUUUGAAACUUUGUCAUGACUAACUACCUCUGGGAGAGCUGGAGUGGAGCUGGACAUUGAGGGGGAAGAAAAUCCGUUUUCACUUGACUGACAGUAACUAGACAGGGACGAUUUGUUGUCAUUUGAUGCUCAUAAAAAGCUAACACCCAAAGCUGUUGACCUCUGCUUCUUGCAGUGGCCUCAUUUUCAUCUUCCAGAAGGAAAUAUAGUAUAGCAGCAACUGUGCUAUCUCAGAUUUUAAUGCUCUAUCAAAUGGCAGAAAAUUCCCGCAGGCCUGUAAAAUAACUGAAUUUCCUGGCUUGUUUUUCAGGGAUGUUUACAGUGACCUCCUGUGACCCAAAGUAUGGCGCAUCUGCCACUGUUUGCCACUGCUGGCAACCCUCAGGGCCCAGAACUGCAUGGAAGACUGCAGAGUGCAGCUGGACAUGCUUAAGGUUCAAAGGUCAACCAAGGGUUUCUGGGUAUGGAGGAAGAAUGGCGCCCAUGAGGGAGGCACAGUGUUGACAUUGUGUUUGGACACUUUGAACAAUGUUAUCUCAGACAGUGUGGGGUUAUGAGCCAAUCAAUCAUUCUGUUAUUGGACCGGCGGAGGUGAUUAUUCAUCUGGGAUCUUUGAUAUUGGCCGUCAAACAGUUCCAGCAUGAGCCUCUUUUUCCAUCACUGCAGGGAUUUUGUUGCUGUUUUUUCCUCCCUCAAAUUAUUCAGUUUAAGUAAAUUAGGUGCUUUUUUGACACAGACAUGACAGAAAUCCACUGCAUUGAUAGAAAAGCCAGACUUUUAAUGACUUUUGUGCUGUUUUGCUGGCUUGAGCUGUGCUUGAGAUAUGUCAGGCUCAGCUGUGGAUGUAAGGCGUAUAAAUCAGCACCGUAAAGGUGAUGGCGCCUCCGGGCAGGUUGCACUACAUUUACAAUUGCAAUGAUGGUAGCAACACACAGAAUACAGAGCUUUUCCAUUGUACUAAUGGGAAAAGCUCUGAAGCAUACAGUAGUGUCAUGCCAGCCAGCACACCUGCUCGAACUCCCCUCUAUCUACUCAGCCACGCAGCCUGGACAAAAUACUGUAACACAGAGAAAAGGGUUGUGGUGGCAGAGAGCAGGCAGAAAACAUAUGUUUAAGUGAGUUGGGUUUAUAUGAUUGUACUGAAGUAUGUUUGCUUUUCUGUGACUGGUGCUUUAGAGUUCAGAUCAUGUCCAUUUUGGAAACCAGUUGAUUAAAAUUGAUGAUUAAAAAGGGGUAAUGUGCUGCAACCGCCCUUAAAGAUUUCCAUUUGGAGAAACAGGCUUUGAAUUUGGAACCCAACCAAGUCCAGAAUGUAAACUCAAGUCCAGAGCUCUGGAAAGUGGUGUUUCAAGGCCUUCAGGGUGACAACUGAGCAUAAUCAGGAUCAAACAAAACCCAGAAACAGCAGUAUGUAGGUGAUUUCUUUGAUGUGUUUGGUUCUUUCUGGCACAUAAGGCCCAAGCGCCUCUUCUGUCUAAGGCAUGUCUUUGUCAUUACUGUGUUAAAGUACUGGUAGAAGCUGCUGUUAAGUUCCUGGGUUCAGUAACAUGAACAAAACUCCAUUAGGGCUAUAAAGACCUAGUCAACUGGUCGACUUAUUGGUCGACCAAAACUGUGAUUAGUCGACUCGAUUUUUACUUAAAAGUUAAACUUCUGAAAACAGGGUUCCAGUUUUUUCAUGUAUAAGAUAGUGCUUUUAAUGAGGUGCUGCAGACUUACAAUUAUCUAAGCUUUUGGAAACAUAAAAUGUUGUUAUUUGGAAGCAACUGAAUUCUUUGUUUUUCUUCUCUUAUUCACUCUGGAGGUUUUUCAAUAACUUUCCAUGUAUCUGUUUAUUUAGUCUGGUUAAAGCAGGUAAGGCAGUGUGAAAGCUCUUGUAAGGAACUUUAGUUUUGUGCCAAUUUUGGCGCCCCCUGUGGACAAAGCAGACUUUUGACCAUAAAACUCAAUCUGCUGACUUUUGAUGAUCAAUGUGCCGUUUAAUGAAAAUUUCAUGUGGAAAUUGUAAAACUGCUUUUAGAGCUGCCCGACUAACACCUACCCCCUCGCAUCAGUUUCAGGCAUCAAAAUAAGAGUAUAACUGAUUAUUGUUUUUUUUUUUGCUUUUGGAUAUCAUGAGAAGACAUUGUUUUGAACUUUAGUCUAUAGAGGUCAAAAAACUUCUCAUAGAAGCAUUACAGUAACACAAUGGGGUUACGUUUAGGUAGGGUGACAAUAUUCUGAAUCCCCAAAAAGAGGACACAAGGGUGGAGACACGGGGUCGUGUGUGGUUAAUUUUGAGAGUUUUCCAUGUUGGAACUUUCAUACACUAAACUUUCAUACUAAACCCUGCUCGUUUAAAGGAUUUUAUAAUCUUCCCCGGACAAAGGCGGUCAGCCCCCAAAAAGAGGGCAUGUCUGUGUAAAAAAUAGUACACAUGGUCACCCCACGUUUAGGAGAGGCCUCUGUUGUGUUUACAAACUUCAUGUUAUGUUACAAGCUCCUCCUGAGCUCAGAAACUGAACCUGAGUUUAGAGCUGAAAGCAAAUGUUAUCACUCAUCCACCAACUCGACCUCAACACCUCAAACUGUCUGUUUCUGUCCGUGUUUCUCUGAAUAACCGUGACAUAUUGAUGAGAGGUUAUUUUGUCUCACCUUUUGUCCAUGCAGCGUGUAAUUUACGCACUCGGGCUGUUUGUCAGCCCUGCAUGUGUGUGCCUGUGAGGCACGGCGAUCCUCGCGCACGUAUGACUGCGUCUAUCUAUGACUGCCUGUCUGUCUGCAUGUCGACACAAAGGCGGUGGGGUCGAGGUGAUGGGAGGGUGAGUCAUAAAUCUGCAGACGAUCGUGGAGACAGUGAAGUAUCUUUCUGGGUUAGGUAGAGAAGGUGCUGAAAAGUGAGAGGUGCUCACCACAGACAGACAGUAGCUGUUUGUGGCACAAGUUUGGGCUGUUGCUGGCGGAGGGGGGAUGGCAAAGAGGUGCUGAUUUACAGCAGGAGGACUGGAGCUGCAGGCUAGACUCUGGAUAUGGUGUUGUGUACGUGUGUGUGUGUGUGUGUGUAGGAGAGGGUGGAUGAUGGUGGUCUUGAGGGGGUUCUGUCAGGGCUGCAUUUGUGAUCCUGUGUUAAGUGCUCGGUCAGUGGUGAAGGCCUUCAGGAUUAGACCCCAAAACCCCCUCCCCACCCCCAAAACUCUUGUAAACAGCCCCCCCUUUUCUCCUACACACACUCACACACAUAUACACACACCUCCUCUUAGCCUGGAUUCCAGCUUUGAGCCCCUUGUGAGAUUCUCCAGAGCCACCCACCUAACUCCUCCUACACUCGCACUACCAGUCCUCUUUGCCUGAUCCCCCUCUCUUUCUCUCUCUCAUGCGCACACACACACACCUACACGUAAAAGUGCGCACACACAUGUCAAAAGACACUCGAACAUAAGCAACAGCUCACUAUUCCCUUAAUAUUACCGGAGUAAAGCGAUCCCCUCACACUCACAUCACAUUAGUGCUGCUAUUAGACCAUACCCAGAUAUAAGAGCUACAGAGUUCGUGUGUGUGUGUGUGUGUGUGUGUGAGUGUGUGAAGUUCGCCAGAGUUUUAUGCAUGCUAGAGGGCUGAUUGUGUAUGUGUUUGCAUCCAGGCUUGAGAUUUGUGAGGGGAGGUAGGGUACGAGAAGUUCGGUGCGUGUCAGCCAGUGUCUACAUUAGAUUAUAAGUGUAUAUGUGUGCGUUGGUGUGUGUGUGAGUCGAUGUAAUAUGUUAACAGAGAGCAAGAGAUGCUUAAAUCUGGCAUGGGAUGAGUGGGAGGAAGGAUGGAUGAGGUUAGCGAGGGUCUGGCGAGGGCUCAGUAGGUGUAAGCUUGAGAAAUUUCCAUGUGGCAGUAAAAUGUCUGCCACUUUACUUAUUGAGUUUCAAAUGCGGGCCAGGUGCUUCUCAGGAGUUUUAAAUGGACCAUUCUCUGAGACUGCAGACUGUGUGUGUAUGUACAUGUGAGUGUGUGUGUGUGUGUGUUUAUUUUGAGUCGCUUUUGGAACAAAUUGUGGACUCCAAUCAAAAUCAGCAUCUGCUUGGGGACAAACUUGGCAUCCGACAGUUGGUUUUAGGGCAGUUGUAUUCAUGGCACAGCUGAAAUAUCUUCUCGGGUUAGAUUAUAGGGUAAAGGUAAGGGCAAUGGUCAUGCUCAGGCAUGUAUUGGUUAUGGGUAAUAGUUACGCCAAGCCUUAAAGAAAAUAAUAUAAACGCAAUGCCUCCAGAAAUAAGCUGCUGCUUGGUGUUUUCAGCACCAGUUUUCUUGCCUUUUACAAUCAUCCUACAACAACAAAGCUGUAGUUUUACUGCCGUCAUUCACAGAAGGGAAAACUCUCAACCGUCAAUCCAAACCCCAAUGACACACACGAUAAAAUUUAGAAAAACAAACCUGCUCCAUAAGUUUCGUGAAAACCAAAACCGUCCCUUUUAAGUACACAAUUGUUGAUUUAUUAAUGUGGACGUUCCAUUCACUGGAAACAAAAAUUCCCCCCCUCCUGUGUUGGUUUUAUCCUGAGCUGGUAUUGAUGGUUUGACACACUUUCUACCUCACAUCAGCAAACAGUUGGGGGUUCAAGGAGUCUCCGAGGCUUACCCCACUAAUCUUUUGUUUACCAUAGACCAAGAUUUUUGCUUUCUGGAAUAGACCUUCAGGGGUGUAACCGACCCCCAACAAAAACCCAUGUUUUCUUUUCUGGACAAAGUUGAUCUAAAGUCUCUCUAGCUCAUUUCCUAUGAAGAGCAGACUGACGCAGGUCUGGGUUUGGAACUAACAGGGGUGGCUGAUGUGAACUCACUGUGUUUCUGGUUGCCCUUGUAAUGGCGGACAGACAGGAAGGCAGGAGAGCCGGGCUGCAGUGGUUUUGGCAACAAAUGAGACAGUCUGCUUUGAAGCCGCCCCGGAUCCUCUUACCCUUGUCGCUUCACUUGUAAAGUCAUUUUCCUGUUAAACGGGGUGUCCUUGUGGGAGAAUUUUAAGAAAAUCAUGUGUUUGUUGAAUUUUAUUUAAUGAGAAACGGCCCUGUUAUAUUUUAACUACCUCUCAGGAAGGCUUUGCACCUUUUUUUUGUCCGUGUAUCUGGUAUCCAGGAUAUUUUUAACACCUCAACACCAAAAAAGUGUCUAUAGAGUUCCUUCUUUUACACAAUAAAUUAAAUCCAACAUUUAUCUCACAUAACAAGAAGUUUUUCAUGGGAAUUCUGAUUUUAUAAUUAAUUUGUUUUUGCCAACAGAAGGGGAACAAAAUACUAAAAAAAAGCACAAGUGAGCUCAUGUUUUUUAAUGUUACAUUUAAUUUGUAUAAUUGAACAGCUAUCAUAGCAAAGCCAAAAUAAAGUCCUGAAUGGUGUUUUAUUCUUGUUAGGAUCAGUCUGUUUUCAGAGAUCCCACAUGCUGAGCUGCAGUAACAGCAAACAAAGGCAGAGAUAGUCACCAGAGAAAAAAAAAAAACAGAAGAUUACUAUCAAAGGAAAUUUCCAAAAUGCACAAUUAGUCUACAAAAAGACAAUAUUUCUUAAUUAAACUCCUUUCUCAUUAUUGUUGUUCCCUCAGAUAAAUAUCGCAGUAGUUUACCUCUUAAAGAUUUUUUCUUGUGAUCUUUAGAGUCGGUCUAAAAAACAGUGUAUUUCUGUGUGAAAAUUAAAGCCGGUUUAGUUUUCAGACACAAGGGAACACAAUGUGACUGUGCAAAUUUGACAAGCUGGCCCGUUACAAUGGAAAGCUGGACAACUCCAAAGAGUUUUCAUUCACAUUCAGGAGUCCAAGUGUUUUUUUUAUUUAUAUAUUUUCAUCAGCCAAGUUUUCAGUCAGGAGUUUAAACAAAGGGCAGCUCUGCAAGUGUUGGAGUUUUUCCCCUUUAAUUGAUUCCUGACAUUUUGAAAACAGAAUUACAACAUUUAAAUAACACCUUUUACAGACUCUUUCUAUUUGACUUAAAUAUUUUGACAAGUACAUCUGAACGGUGGUGACUUUAAAAACACUUUUCAUGUUUCCAACCACAUUAAAAAGAAACACGGGAUCUUCUGUUUUAUAUUUAAGUUCUUACUAAAAAAAAAAUAAUAAUCUGGUAAAUCCAAUUCACUUUUUAUUCACUUACUUCCCAGCAAGUUUGAAAAGAUUGAGCUACUAAAAAUAGCAAGAUUUGUUAUCACUUUUACUCUAAAUUACUGACAAAAACUGGCCAAAGAUGAUCUUUUCCUACAAACUGUAUGAGAGUGCCACCGCUGACACAUGAAGCAGAGAAACACAGCAGACACAUUUGUCCGCUUUCACCUCUCAGGAAAUGGCAUCCAAUCACCUUUCAACUUUACACUAACAGACAUUUGGCUUCACUCCGACGUUUCACAGAGCUGGUUUCCUCUUACCACG